rnacentral:rRNA from 1 species
UACGGGGGGAGCAAGCGUUGUUCGGAUUUACUGGGCGUAAAGAGCGCGCAGGCGGUCGUUCAAGUCGCGUGUGAAAGCCCCCGGCUCAACUGGGGAGGGUCACGCGAUACUGAUCGACUCGAAGGCAGGAGAGGGUAGUGGAAUUCCCGGUGUAGUGGUGAAAUGCGUAGAUAUCGGGAGGAACACCAGUGGCGAAGGCGACUACCUGGCCUGUUCUUGACGCUGAGGCGCGAAAGCUAGGGUAGCAAACGGG